rnacentral:ncRNA from 2 species
GGUUCGGGUCGUGACUGGCGUUCAGGUGGAGUACCACCGGGGAGCGGCUCCGCCGAGCACUGCCGCGCGCCUGGGCGAUUCCC